GAUGAACGCUGGCGGAGUGCUUAACACAUGCAAGUCGAACGGUGAACGAGGGAGCUUGCUCCCUCCGGAUCAGUGGCGAACGGGUGAGUAACACGUGAGCAAUCUGCCCUGGACUCUGGGAUAAGCGUUGGAAACGACGUCUAAUACCGGAUACGAGACGCGAAGGCAUCUUCAGCGUCUGGAAAGAACUUCGGUCCAGGAUGAGCUCGCGGCCUAUCAGGUAGUUGGUGAGGUAACGGCUCACCAAGCCUACGACGGGUAGCCGGCCUGAGGGGGUGACCGGCCACACUGGGACUGAGACACGGCCCAGACUCCUACGGGAGGCAGCAGUGGGGAAUAUUGCACAAUGGGCGCAAGCCUGAGGCAGCAACGCCGCGUGAGGGACGACGGCCUUCGGGUUGUAAACCUCUUUUAGCAGGGAAGAAGCGAAAGUGACGGUACUGCAGAAAAAGCACCGGCUAACUACGUGCCAGCAGCCGCCGUAACAC
rnacentral:rRNA from 1 species